rnacentral:sRNA from 1 species
GCUGGGCAUGGUGGUGCAUGCCUGUAAUCCCAGCUACUCGGGAGGCUGAGGUGGGAGAAUCACUUGAACCCAGGAGGCAGAGGUUGCAGUGAGCUGAGAUAGCACCACUGCACUCCCGCCUGGUGACAUAGUGAGACUCCGUCUCGA